GGCGGUUGCCAAGCACCCGGUGGAGACGAGAUGCGGUCGGGAACGGGGGCCGCCACUCCGAAGCGUGCGGCCCGCGGAAUUCAGCAGGUGGGGAACUCGAGGGACCCGGUUCCUUGGAACGGGAGGAGCGUGUGAAGGGGAAGACUUUCUGGCCAGGAGUACAAGGUGUUCCCUGAGGACUGGGAACUAUUAAAACAGCUUAAACAGACUUCCAAGGUUGAACCCCUACUGGAGCGGAUGACGUAGCUGUAGAUUUCUCCAAAAUGACCAUCAAAAGUCUGAUGAGAUAAAGGGCACACUGGAAACUGGGAAUGCUGUGAGAGAAAUUCUGCAAGUAAUUGAAGCUCUGGCUGUAAAGAAGACAAGAAAACAA